UACGAAGGGGGCUAGCGUUGCUCGGAAUCACUGGGCGUAAAGCGCACGUAGGCGGAUUUCUAAGUCAGGGGUGAAAUCCUGGAGCUCAACUCCAGAACUGCCUUUGAUACUGGGAAUCUCGAGUCCGGGAGAGGUGAGUGGAACUGCGAGUGUAGAGGUGAAAUUCGUAGAUAUUCGCAAGAACACCAGUGGCGAAGGCGGCUCACUGGCCCGGUACUGACGCUGAGGUGCGAAAGCGUGGGGAGCGAUCCGG
rnacentral:rRNA from 1 species